AUACAUGCAAGUCGAGCGGACCGACGGGAGCUUGCUCCCUUAGGUCAGCGGCGGACGGGUGAGUAACACGUGGGUAACCUGCCUGUAAGACUGGGAUAACUCCGGGAAACCGGGGCUAAUACCGGAUGCUUGAUUGAACCGCAUGGUUCAAUCAUGAAAGGCGGCUUCGGCUGCCGUUUACAGAUGGACCCGCGGCGCAUUAGCUAGUUGGUGAGGUAACGGCUCACCAAGGCGACGAUGCGUAGCCGACCUGAGAGGGUGAUCGGCCACACUGGGACUGAGACACGGCCCAGACUCCUACGGGAGGCAGCAGUAGGGAAUCUUCCGCAAUGGACGAAAGUCUGACGGAGCAACGCCGCGUGAGUGAUGAAGGUUUUCGGAUCGUAAAGCUCUGUUGUUAGGGAAGAACAAGUACCGUUCGAAUAGGGCGGUACCUUGACGGUACCUAACCAGAAAGCCACGGCUAACUACGUGCCAGCAGCCGCGGUAAUGCGUAGGGGCAAGCGUUGUCCGGAAUUAUUGGGCGUAAAGCGCGCGCGGCGUUUCUAAGUCUGAUGUGAAGCCCCGGCUCA
rnacentral:rRNA from 1 species